UUGUCUGCUUAUGAAUGGACAGGAUGCCAGUCUGGCAGUUUGCAUUGGCAAUAAAUCACCACUAGACAUUUUAUUUAAAAUUUGGCACUGGCUUGGAAGAGUGANGGAUUGUCAAUUUGUUUUUAUUUUGAAGCCAGGCAC
rfam:Cricetulus griseus clone PRN017 His-1 gene, partial sequence.